rnacentral:rRNA from 1 species
GGGGAAUAUUGCACAAUGGGGGAAACCCUGAUGCAGCGACGCCGCGUGGAGGAAGAAGGUCUUCGGAUUGUAAACUCCUGUUGUUGAGGAAGAUAAUGACGGUACUCAACAAGGAAGUGACGGCUAACUACGUGCCAGCAGCCGCGGUAAAACGUAGGUCACAAGCGUUGUCCGGAAUUACUGGGUGUAAAGGGAGCGCAGGCGGGAAGACAAGUUGGAAGUGAAAUCUAUGGGCUCAACCCAGAAACUGCUUUCAAAACUGUGUUUCUUGAGUAGUGCAGAGGUAGGCGGAAUUCCCGGUGUAGCGGUGGAAUGCGUAGAUAUCGGGAGGAACACCAGUGGCGAAGGCGGCCUACUGGGCACCAACUGACGCUGAGGCUCGAAAGUGUGGGUAGCAAAC